rnacentral:rRNA from 1 species
UAAGUAUAUUAUAGUAGUAUUUAGAAGGUAACUUGUUAUAGUGAUGUUUGGAGAGGAGAAAUUAAUUUUUUACCUUUAGUAUAAUGGUAAUAGGAUUAGUAAAAUCCAAAUAUAGCUGGGAUGCACUAAAUAAGCAGUAAAGACUAAAGGUAAGUGUAAAUGUUGCAAUAGUUCAUUGUUUCUUUAGUAAGAUUGAUAUAAAAAUCGUUGUUUAUGUUAUAUUGAUUCCUUAUAUAAUAGAAAUGUAAUUAGUCUUUUUAAAGGGUUGAGGAUUUUUAGGGACAGCUUAAAAAUCUUUUGAGUAAAUUUACUUUUUUUAUAAAAGGGUUCCUUUUGUUGAUUAUAAGUUUGUAUUAAAUAUUAAGGAAAAAAGAAUCUUUUAAAAAGUAUAAUUCUGUGGAGUCUUUUUCAAAGAUUAAAAUAUUUGUGAUGGGGGGAAGAAUAUUAAGGGAGGAAUUUGGCAAAUAAAUACUAGUAAAAAAGUUUACUAAAGUCUAAGCUAGCUGAGCUUUUCUAAUAGUUGGUGCAACCUGCUCUCUGUUAAAUUAUGAAGGGCGGCUCAAAGUUUUAAUGUAGCGUAAUAAUUUGUCUAUUAAUUGUAGUCUAGUGAAGGGUUAAUUUUUACUGGUUCUUUCUUUUUUAACUUUAUAAAAAUUCCUGUUUGGUGAAAAUGCCAAUAAUAAAAUAAAAGAAAAAAAGACCCUAGGUAGUUAAAAUUUUAUUGGUUUUUAUAAAACUAAGAGACUUUAUGUUGGGGCAACAGCAGAUUAUUGUAAAGAAUAUUUUAAAUAAUUUCUGUUUUGGUAAUUUUUGGAAAUUUUAUAUUUCACUAACCCUAGGGAUAACAGCGCAAUUAGCAGGGAGAGUUCAUAUUAAUCUGUUAGUUUACGACCUCGAUGUCGACUUAAAAUAAUUUUAGGCGCAGUAGCUUGAAGUUUAGUGUUUGUUCACCACGCAGAUUUUUACGUGAGUUGGGUUAAGAACGGGGUAACUUAGUUUGGAUUUUUUCUUUAAAUAUAGUUAAUUUAAUAGUACGAAAGGAAAUUAUAAUAAAAUAUGAAUAACAUUUG